rnacentral:rRNA from 1 species
GUAGGUGGCAAGCGUUGUCCGGAAUUAUUGGGCGUAAAGCGCGCGCAGGCGGUUCUUUAAGUCUGAUGUGAAAGCCCACGGCUCAACCGUGGAGGGUCGUUGGAAACUGGAGAACUUGAGUACAGAAGAGGAAAGCGGAAUUCCACGUGUAGCGGUGAAAUGCGUAGAGAUGUGGAGGAACACCAGUGGCGAAGGCGGCUUUCUGGUCUGUAACUGACGCUGAGGCGCGAAAGCGUGGGGAGCAAACAGGGAUUAGAUACCCUGGUAGUCCACGCCGUAAACGAUGAGUGCUAAGUGUUAGGGGGUUUCCCGCCCCUUAGUGCUGCAGCUAACGCAUUAAGCACUCCGCCUGGGGAGUACGGCCGCAAGGCUG